rnacentral:misc_RNA from 1 species
UCCGGUUUAACACCGGCAGUCCCUUCAGAGUGCCCAACUUAAUGGUGGCAACUAAAGGCAAGGGUUGCGCUCGUUGCGGGACUUAACCCAACAUCUUACGACACGAGCUGACGACAGCCAUGCAGCACCUAUCUCCCUGUCCCCGAAGGGAACACAACAUCUCUGCUGCUGUCAGGGGAUGUUAAGCCCAGGUAAGGUUCUGCGCGUUGCUUCGAAUUAAACCACAUACUCCACCGCUUGUGCGGGCCCCCGUCAAUUCCUUUGAGUUUUAGUCUUGCGACCGUACUCCCCAGGCGGGAUACUUAAUGCGUGAGCUACGGUACUCAAAGGGUUAACACUUCGAGCACCUAGUAUCCAUCGUUUACGGCGUGGACUAC